rnacentral:rRNA from 1 species
GAUGAACGCUGGCGGCGUGCCUAAUACAUGCAAGUCGAGCGAACGGACGAGAAGCUUGCUUUUCUGAUGUUAGCGGCGGACGGGUGAGUAACACGUGGAUAACCUACCUAUAAGACUGGGAUAACUUCGGGAAACCGGAGCUAAUACCGGAUAAUAUUUUGAACCGCAUGGUUCAAAAGUGAAAGACGGUCUUGCUGUCACUUAUAGAUGGAUCCGCGCUGCAUUAGCUAGUUGGUAAGGUAACGGCUUACCAAGGCAACGAUGCGUAGCCGACCUGAGAGGGUGAUCGGCCACACUGGAACUGAGACACGGUCCAGACUCCUACGGGAGGCAGCAGUAGGGAAUCUUCCGCAAUGGGCGAAAGCCUGACGGAGCAACGCCGCGUGAGUGAUGAAGGUCUUCGGAUCGUAAAACUCUGUUAUUAGGGAAGAACAUAUGUGUAAGUAACUGUGCACAUCUUGACGGUACCUAAUCAGAAAGUCACGGCUAACUACGUG